ACUCCUCCAUCUCAUCCCACCAACUCUGUAAAUCCACCAGGCCCCACAAUGCAUCCUCCACACCACUGCAGUAACAGCCAUAUCUUCAGGUCACAAAGCUUCAGUACUAUCUGAAUGUGUUGAAUUACCAUCCAGCAUCCUGUGGCAACGUCAAUGUGAAACCGCAUUGGCCCGUGAUCACCACCAACCCGUGAUCACCACCAACCCGUGAUCACCACCAACCCGUGAUCACCACCAACCCGGCUCCAGAGCGGUAGCCAUGGACACCCACUCUUUGCUCAAGAUCAACGAAAGGAGAUUUGGAAGGAUCCCAGGAUGGCCUCCCGAGAGAGCACACCUGGCAGCAGAGAGCACUUUGAUGUGAUUGGCUGUUCAGCAGGAAGUUUCAUCUGGCUACACAGAAGAGAUGAUGGAUCUGACCGAUAAUGUUUUUUAUGGAAUGAUGUAUGAUUCUAAAUAAAAAAGGGUGAAAUGUA